UACGUAGGCAGCAAGCGUUGUUCGGAGUUACUGGGCGUAAAGGGUGUGUAGGCGGUUGUUUAAGUUUGGUGUGAAAUCUCCCGGCUCAACUGGGAGGGUGCGCCGAAUACUGAAUGACUAGAGUGCGGGAGAGGAAAGUGGAAUUCCUGGUGUAGCGGUGAAAUGCGUAGAUAUCAGGAGGAACACCGGUGGUGUAGACGGCUUUCUGGACCGUAACUGACGCUGAGACACGAAGGCCAGGGGAGCAAACGGG
rnacentral:rRNA from 1 species